rnacentral:lncRNA from 1 species
AAUAGGAGAAAACACACAGCAUCGACAGUAGUGAUUAAGUUCUAUUAAGCUGCUGUUAUUUUGGACACGGUGCGAUUAGCACAUCCAAACCACUUCAUUUCCAGGCUCUGGCACCUUGCUCGUUGCUAACUUAAAUCACGCAGCUCGGUGAAUCACGUUGUGAACAGUUUUAUUGGUUCUCCGUUGGAAAAAACAUAUUGAGUGCUUGAUAAAGUGACCCUUGCAUCACUUGCAUCCCACUUUACAAAUUGGAUGAGAUGCUGCUGAUGAAGUGCCUUUCUCACCAGUUACAUCCUUUGGGAUGUUUGUUGAAUAACAUUUGCUGCAGCUGUUUUCUGGUAAGUCCCGAGCCUUUAUAUACUCAUACACACUAAUGAACAUGGAACGCCCACAUUACUGCCCUGGCCCCAUGACACCGGGUGCUACUUGAUGUCUUUCCACUUGAGAUUGCCAUAAAGAUUGCACCUGUGCUCCUGCAUGUCGU